UAGUGUAGCCAAAUUCCCUGGCUCUCGCAUCGAUGAAGAACAUAGCAAAAUGUGAUACUUGGUGUGAAUUGCAGAUUCCCAUGAACCAUAGAGUAUUUGAACGCAAGUUACGCCCGAAGCCAUUAGGCCGAGGGCACAUCUGCCUGGGCAUCA
rnacentral:rRNA from 1 species